rnacentral:rRNA from 1 species
CUCGUAGGCGGCUCAGUAAGUCGGUCGUGAAAGCCCGGGGCUCAACCCCGGGACGCCGAUCGAAACUGCUGUGGCUAGGGUUCGGUAGAGGAGAGUGGAAUUCCCGGUGUAGCGGUGAAAUGCGCAGAUAUCGGGAGGAACACCAGUAGCGAAGGCGGCUCUCUGGGCCGACACCGACGCUGAGGAGCGAAAGCUAGGGGAGCAAACA